GUGUCGGAAGAACCUGGUGGUUCAGACGGGCUGUAACCCCGUUGCGUUACACGCAGGAUCGGUUCGAUUCCGGUUCGGCACAC
rnacentral:tRNA from 1 species